CCUUCCACUCACCAUUUCUCCUACAUACCAAGGAACAAGUGCAGAGGUAAGAACUGCAAUCAUAAUUUCAUAAUUUAAUUCUUACAACCUUCAGCAACUCCCAAGCUCUCUCUCUCUAAAAAAAAAAACGCCACUGCCCAUAACUCCAUUCACAGAAGCUUAGUAAACAACAACAAAUACAACAACAAACACCAGCCGAAACCUCAUCAAAAGGCUUUGAGCAUCAGGAGGAUUAGCACUGCUAUUCCGAUUCAGAGAUAACGUUAAACGACAGGCUUUGCCUAGACAGGUUAAUGGCUGGUGAUGACGGGGCAGAGCUGAGGCUAGAGUUCAACUCCUUAUUUUAAUUUCCGCUGCAGAACUAGCCAGUAUCUGUCUUUUGUUCCUUAACUUAAGACCUAUUAUGUUGUGAUUCUAAAAACAAUAUCUUUUGUUGAACCUAGACUAUUAACUCUCAAAUAUUUUGAUCAGUGAUUGUUGGUUAUCUGAA